rnacentral:rRNA from 1 species
UACAGAGAGGGCAAGCGUUAUUCAUCUUCACUGGGCAUAAAGGGUGCGUAGAUGGCUAUUUGAUAGGGUCAUAGUGUUAAUUGCUGCGUUUGGUAGGCGUAUAUGACAACUAAUAGCUACUGAGACAUGAAGAGGUCUUUAGUAUACGACAGGGCAUCGGUUUGAGAAACUAUCGAUCUGUCGGGGACUACCCACCGCGAAGGCAUUAGGCUAAUCAUGAUCUGACGUUGAGGCACGAAAGCGUGGGGGAGCAAAAGGG